rnacentral:rRNA from 1 species
CGAAGGGGGCUAGCGUUGUUCGGAAUUACUGGGCGUAAAGCGCGCGCAGGCGGUUCUUUAAGUCAGGGGUGAAAGCCCAGAGCUCAACUCUGGAAUUGCCUUUGAAACUAGAGAACUUGGGUACGGGAGAGGUGAGUGGAAUUCCGAGUGUAGAGGUGAAAUUCGUAGAUAUUCGGAAGAACACCAGUGGCGAAGGCGGCUCACUGGCCCGUUACCGACGCUCAGGCGCGACAGCGUGGGGAGCAAACAGGAUUAGAUACCCUGGUAGUCCACGCCGUAAACGAUGGAUGCUAGCCGUUGGUAAGCAUGCUUAUCAGUGGCGCAGCUAACGCAUUAAGCAUCCGCCUCGGGGAGUACGGCCGCAAGGUUG